rnacentral:lncRNA from 10 species
GUGGAUGAAUCAGCUACACUUCUAUCCUUUUCACAUAACCCAGACAGUUCAAAGGAGUUGGAGAUGCAUUUGCUGUAUUUUGCUUUUUGCAAAGGAUAAGUGUCUCUUCCCAACUUUUAUGAUUUGAAUAAUGAUUUAACAAUGAAGAUCCUGGAAACACAAACUCUAUGGGAGAAUCUUCAAGAGAAGUAGAAUUUACUUUCCAUGACCCCUACCACUUUGAAGAAUAUUUAGUAGUUGUUUUUUCUGGCAUGUCUUUGUCAAAAGAAUUAUUUUUUAUGCCAAAGAAACCUAAGAAGUAUCCUAAUGUCAGCACCUUCAAAUGGAAAAUGUUUCAAGAAGGCUUCUCAUCAUCAACCUGCUUUCAUGUCCAUUUUCAUGUGAAUUGUUGAUGGGAAAAUAGAAUUUCAUCACUACCGUUGGUGAAGACAUUCCUAAGAACACAGAAGAUGUCCAUCAGAAUCUUUCCCUGGUGCUAGACCAAUGGACUCCAGAGCAGCCAUGGUGGCAGGGAUGAAGGCUAUGCAGGAGCCUAAUGACAAGGACUUUCUCUCAUCAUGGUGACCUGCCUAGUGACUCAGCUGAAUUCCUAAUUGAUCAGGAGUAGCAGCCAGGUCUGACAACCAGUAUGACACUGUAUCAAAGAGUUCCAAUCAACUACCUGGUAGAAGCCAAUUAUAUUGAACCCUUCCAUCGUGGUAGGGGCAGAAAUUACCCUCACUGGAAUAGAUAGCUAUUCUAUAUAUAAGUUUACCAUCACUGCUCUACUGUGCUUCUACUAACACUUUCAUCAUGUUUAAGAACUCAAAUUCGUAAACAUCACAAUGGAAGUCUCAUUCUACAUUCUUAUGUUUUAUAAUCAUAUUAUUUUCUUGACAUUUAUUUUCCAAAUUCUUGAAAUAAAAUUGAAGGUGACUCAUAAUAUAAGGGUAAUGUCAUGCAAAUAAACUUUUGAAAUAAUUUAAACAAGCUGACCCAUAAUAAAAUUAAAAUUGUAAGUAGAUCCUUUAUGAGUAAGGAACUUACUUUACUGAGAAAGAAAUAAGACAAUGGGCUAAUUACCAUAGAAUUUACUGGUCUAGCCAGAAGCAAAUGACCUUAUGGAAAAACAGAAUGGUCUAUUGAAGACUUAGAUAUGGUACCCCUGGCUGCCAGCUGGCAGACAACAUCUUGCACAUUUAGGUGCUGUUCUUUAGGAUAAAGCAUUUACUUUCAUUUAGCUGUGAAUAAAUGGCACUCUUUCUUCCUAUUCUGGGAUACACAGAUUGAGAAGCCUUGGGAAAAAAAUAUAAGGCCACCAGUCAAAAUUAUAUCUAAUUAUCCACUAUUAAAAUUUUGCAUCCUGGG